rnacentral:rRNA from 1 species
UACGGGGGGGGCAAGCGUUGUUCGGAAUUACUGGGCGUAAAGCGCACGUAGGCGGCUUGCCAAGUCGGACGUGAAAUCCCUCAGCUCAACUGAGGACGUGCAUCCGAAACUGGCGAGCUUGAGUACUGAAGAGGAUCGCGGAAUUCCCGGUGUAGAGGUGAAAUUCGUAGAUAUCGGGAGGAACACCAGUGGCGAAGGCGGCGAUCUGGGCAGAUACUGACGCUGAGGUGCGAAAGCGUGGGGAGCAAACAGG